AGAUCUUCACACGCCUGGGCAAGUGCUACACGUUCAACUCGGGGGAGCCGGGCACCGAGCUGCUGACCACGCUGCAGGGCGGCGCGGGGAACGGCCUGGAGCUCAUGCUCAACAUCCAGCAGGAGGAAUACCUGCCCGUGUGGGGCGACACGGACGAGACGUCCUACGAGGCCGGCGUGAAGGUGCAGA